UUUUUUAGCCACGGACACUGUUUCUACCUGUGAUGGAGUCGGCUGGUGUAGCCCUUUGCAGCAUGCAUUUCUACGCAUUUUAGAUGGCACUCGAAUUUCAAAACGUCUAUUUCCUUGACUUCCGUAGUCGAUGCUCGAUUCUCUACGUUCCAGUAUAAUUGUGGACUCCUGGUGAACUACACCAUUAGUCUCUUUCUCUCUCUCUCUCUCAUACUCCACAGCCUAGUUACAGACUCUUAAACCAAACAGACUUUUAAACAUUCCAGGUUGUACGAGAUUAGUGUUGACAGAGUCAUUGGGCUGCAUGAUCUGGCCACCAAUCGCUCCACUUGGAGAUUAUGGGUUUAAUGUACUCUCUACCAGCGUACUGUUGCAGAUUGGCCACAGAUCGGAUAUGCGGAUGGACUGAUACUGAAGAAUUAAGUUUUGUGAGCACCAUCCCCGAGAUAAAGCUGCCCACACCCAUCUCUGCGUUGGGAUUGCCUCAUGGGUUAUGCACUAAGCGCCUCGUAUAAAACUCGAAUGUCGUGUUUUAAGGUUUUGAAACUCGCUAAUCCCUGAGCUAAUUAGGCAGUCGAUCAGGACACUGAACAGGACUGGGUCAUGAGGAGCCCGCAGUGAGGUUGUUGAUAAGGUGUACAGGAAUGUACUCACUUGUAGGCCAAGGCUGAAGCAGGUCCCCAUCAGUCGCUUUUGGUGGAGAGGACACAUGCAGCCUGACGCAGAGGAGGCAGGUUCUAUUCAAUUGUGUGCCACAGAAAAGGACUUUCCCAGAAGUUGAAAGCAUUAUCUCAUGUCAAGUCUCCUUCGCAGUUCUUUUUUCCAAACCUGGUGUUUCUGGGGGUAUGGUGUCUUCCGACACGGGUUCCGACACUGCUACGACGUCUCUGUGAGAAGCCGAGCCUCAGUUGAUUGCGCUUGAUUUGUGACUCGUGAGGGGGAUUUGAUUUGAGCGCUGUUUGAUUUGGAAUCAUGCUUCUCUUCUUCAUUUUCUCGCUUCUUGUGUUUCUGAUCGUCAGUACCGCCAUAGCGCCCGCUUUGAUGGAGCAAACCCAAGAAGUUGUAGACCAAGCCGUCGGCAUGUGGGCCCUUCCAUCUUUCUUUGGCGCCCUAUCUGCGUUGCUGCUGCUCUUGGUCUGCGUUCCCUGCGGUCCGCUGGAGCCCGUGGUGAACCAGGUUAAGAAUUUCCAGUACUGAAGCUGAGACCUCCAUGCACUGCACGUCUCUACAAGGGCUUCUGACAACCCAUGGUUGAUCUGGUUUGCGCACUUUUGCGGUUUCGCUUUGUUCUCCAAACUAGACCUACAGGUCAACUUCUCAAGGACUAGCCAAGCGCGCUUCUGUGGAGCUGAACUACCCACAUGGGAGGACGAUGAGCUUUCGACACAGCCUUCGGCGUUGUUCGUGACUGCAGCAACAGAAAACUGCAACUUUAUGUGAGAAUCUGCAUUAGCCCUCUGAUAUCAGUGCAUUUGUUGCCUUCCAGUGAGCUCCAGAAUGUUCUCAUUUAAGGAUUUUUCACGCAAGUCUUUCCUUGCUUCUUAUACAUGCUAGCAAGAGGAUAAGCUAUAGAGAGUCUUAACUAAAGCCAAUUUUGAAAACAGUGGAUUCUGCUGCUCUGUUGAGUUAAGAAGUAACACGACCUAGAUGAACAAAAUAUAUAGUAAAACAGCGAUUACUGGAGGUGAUAUUGUGUGCAAUGUAAUGGGUCCGUUUCUUUUCUUGCAGUGUUGAUUGAAGUAUAUCA